AUUGAACGCUGGCGGCAUGCCUUACACAUGCAAGUCGAACGGCAGCACGGGUGCUUGCACCUGGUGGCGAGUGGCGAACGGGUGAGUAAUACAUCGGAACGUACCUUAUCGUGGGGGAUAACGCAGCGAAAGCUGUGCUAAUACCGCAUACGCCCUGAGGGGGAAAGCGGGGGCUCGCCAGACUCCGCGCGAUUAGAGCGGCCGAUGCCUGAUUAGCUUGUUGGUGGGGUAAAAGCCCACCAAGGCGACGAUCAGUAGCUGGUCUGAGAGGACGAUCAGCCACACUGGGACUGAGACACGGCCCAGACUCCUACGGGAGGCAGCAGUGGGGAAUUUUGGACAAUGGGGGCAACCCUGAUCCAGCAAUGCCGCGUGAGUGAAGAAGGCCUUCGGGUUGUAAAGCUCUUUUGUCAGGGAAGAAACACCGGCUCUAACACAGUCCGGGAAUGACGGUACCUGAAGAAUAAGCACCGGCUAACUACGUGCCAGCAGCCGCAGUAA
rnacentral:rRNA from 1 species